AUAUCUCUGCUCACAGUAAGAUGUGUGUGUGUCGAUUGGACGAUCGCACAAACCGAGUGAGUGAAUGACUCACUCCUAUCCGUUUAGUGCUGCAUACAGAGAGAAGUGUUUCAUCUACUGGCUUUGUGACAGGUCCAACCAUGUGCCACAGCUCAUCAGUCCUUGCGCCGUGUAUGAUGAUCUUCCUCUCUGGGGCUGUGAGAGCCGGAGAUGCACCGGGGAUGCGAUGGGACUAACAAUUCUCCAGCUGUGAUCCAUGGAGAGUCUUUGGCCACUCAAACUAUCUUUCUCAACAAACAGGAAUUACACAAGCUUCAGUCUGGAUCCAGAACACCUGAGAAGAGAUGAUGCCAACACGUCAGAGGACCUCAGAUGAUGCCAACCCUGAAACAACAUACAGAACUACCAAAUUUUGCUAUAAGUUUGAUUGCAUCAUAUAAUAAUUGCUGUUAAUAGUGUUCAUCAUCUGUUUGAUUACGUCUUUAAUUGAUAUUUCCCUACAUUUCUGCCAUAUGUACAUUAACUGACAGUCACCACUGAUAAGCUACUACUAAAUAUAUUGUAGAAACAUAAUUUUCUGUAAAGUUGCUUUGCAACAACAUGUAUCGUGAAAAGCGCUAUACAAAUAAACUUGAAUUGAAUUGAGUUUAAUUGAAUCUCAACAUGCUGGUUGUCAUGAAGGGCUGAUCUGCUCCAUGUACUGUAGAAUAAAACUACUUUUUCACUCUAGUGCAUGACAACAUCAUUCAUAUCUCAUAAUUAUUCAUGGCACCACAUGACAUAUUCCUAAGACAAGCACUUCAAAUGCUCAGGCACUUGAGCGAGUUGAUACUAUUCUAAAAAAAGCAUCUCGAGUGUUGUUUGCAUUGCUUUCCCUGCAAUGCUGAUGCGACAAUGCUAACAUCUUUGAAAUGUUUAUGCGCAACAAGCAUAAUCAGGUGAGAGUUGUGUAAAUCAGCAUCCUAUAAUAGCUCUAAAAAUUAUUAGAAAUGUUAAAGCACAUUCAAGUAUUUCUUGUUGAAAGCGUCAGCCUAUCACUU
ensembl:lncRNA